ACUAGGAUGGCUGAGUGGUUAAAGUGUUGGACUUAAACUCCACUAGACAGAUGUUCUUGUGGGUUCAAACCCCACUCCUGGUA